UUCCUAUAUAAAAACUCCCAACAAAAACAAGCUACUUCCUUCACUCGCAGUGAAAGCUUUGCCCCCAACUUAUAAGGUUCGGAUCUCAUCUGCAAUUUCGCUCUAUUGUUGUGUUGUGAUUCCACUCGUGCACACUUAGAAACUUGAAGAUCGAUGUAUGAGGCUUAAUUAUCUGGCUAUCUGGCUACCAAGAGAGAAAUUCACAAGUUUUGCGGCGAAAUCGAGCACAUCUAGAUCUAUCGUGAUUCUUGAAGAAAGAAGACUGCAUUCGUGACAUUAAAAGCUCUUGAAAUUGCACUAUGAUGAAAUUACAACAUCAGCAAGGGAGGUACGAACGAUCUCAAGGGUGGUCUAGAGGAGAUCUAAAGUCAAAGGACUAAAGGAGUAAAAUAAUAAUUAAAGUUAUUUAAUUAUU
rnacentral:lncRNA from 1 species